GGAUCAAUGAUGACAAUAAGUCUCUGAGGAAGUUAUCAACUCAUCCAAAUAGCAAUCUGAGGUCC